AUUGAACGCUGGCGGCAGGCCUAACACAUGCAAGUCGAGCGCGAAAGUUCUUCGGAAUGAGUAAAGCGGCGGACGGGUGAGUAAUACAUGGGAAUCUGCCUGGUAGUGGGGGACAACGUUUCGAAAGGAAUGCUAAUACCGCAUACGCCCUACGGGGGAAAGGGGGGGAUCUUCGGACCUCUCGCUAUCAGAUGAGCCCA
rnacentral:rRNA from 1 species